CAGGCCUAACACAUGCAAGUCGAGCGGACCAUUCCUUCGGGGAUGGUUAGCGGCGGACGGGUGAGUAACACGUAGGCAACCUGCCUGUAAGAUCGGGAUAACUACCGGAAACGGUAGCUAAGACCGGAUAGCUGGUUUCCCCGCAUGGGGGAAUCAUGAAACACGGGGCAACCUGUGGCUUACGGAUGGGCCUGCGGCGCAUUAGCUAGUUGGUGGGGUAACGGCCCACCAAGGCGACGAUGCGUAGCCGACCUGAGAGGGUGAUCGGCCACACUGGGACUGAGACACGGCCCAGACUCCUACGGGAGGCAGCAGUAGGGAAUCUUCCGCAAUGGGCACAAGCCUGGCGGAGCAACGCCGCGUGAGUGAUGAAGGUUUUCGGAUCGUAAAGCUCUGUUGCCAAGGAAGAACGCCUCGGAGAGUAACUGCUCUGAGGGUGACGGUACUUGAGAAGCAAGCCCCGGCUAACUACGUGCCAGCAGCCGCGGUAAUACGUAGGGGGCAAGCGUUGUCCGGAAUUAUUGGGCGUAAAGCGCGCGCAGGCGGUCUUCUAAGUUUGGUGUUUAAGCCCGGGGCUCAACCCCGGUUCGCACUGAAAACUGGGAGACUUGAGUGCAGGAGAGGAAAGCGGAAUUCCACGUGUAGCGGUGAAAUGCGUAGAGAUGUGGAGGAACACCAGUGGCGAAGGCGGCUUUCUGGACUGUAACUGACGCUGAGGCGCGAAAGCGUGGGGAGCAAACAGGAUUAGAU
rnacentral:rRNA from 1 species